rfam:Streptomyces venezuelae ATCC 10712 complete genome
CCGACGGGCACUCGCCCGCUCGGACACUGACAUCGGUACCUCAUACGGCCGGUGCAG